AACGCACCUUGCGCCCCUUGGUAUUCCGAGGAGCACGCCUGUUUGAGUGUCUUGAAAUCAUCAACCCAAAGAUGGCUUUCCCUGUCGUCCAAGGGUUGGAAUAUGAGGGGCUUUGCUGCUUGCCUUGCAAGUGGCUCCCUUGAAAUGCGUCUGCUGUGACCUCCGAGUCUCUGUUCUCUAAGGCGUUGUAUUUCCCUCGCUCUGAGCUGGACUCGGCACCUCGCGGUGUGCGUCUGCGGCAACGACCUGUCCAUUGAGAUGGCGGUCUCUGUUUUGAAAAUCGAAUUCUGACCUCAAAUCAGGCGGGACUACCCGCUGAACUUAA
rnacentral:misc_RNA from 1 species